CUGCUCACUUUGGCAGCACAUAUUCUGAAAUAGGAACCGUUCAGAGAUUAUCGUGGCCCCUGAACAAGGGUCACACUCAAAUACGUGAAGCGAUCAAUGCAGGU
rnacentral:snRNA from 14 species